AAGAGACGAACAGUUCUUCCCCUCCAGAGGACAUUGUGUUCAAGGAGCUGUUCCAGAAGCAGAAACCCUCUCAGCCUUGAUUUUGGAUCCAGCUCAGGACCGUUGUGCUUAAGAUUCAUUGUUAUUGUGGCUUAUCAUCACAUCUGUUUCUAACCUCAUUAGGGCCAUCAUUCUUGGAAAGUCAUCCAGUUCAUCAAUAUCCUUUAACACUGUUUGGAUUUGUGGGUGUUCAUUCAAGCAGGAAGGGAGGCCUAUGGAGCUGUAAAAUGUAAUCUCCAUUGAAGUUGGGCAUCUGGAAAUACUGAGAGUCUCCAUUGAGGUUGAGCAUCUCAAUAAACUGUGUUAUGUCAACCAGCCCGUGCAUGCCAACUAUUAUUAACUACCUCAUUUUUUGUGACCUCUAAUGUAAUAAUAUUUAAUGCUGAGCAGGUGUUCUGAAUUCUCAUUGUAUACUAUUUUUAUUCUUGUGUGAUGGAAUGGCUCCAUGUCCUCUAACACCUGACUAGAAUGAGGCACCUCUACCACCAGAAAGCCUCACUAAUGGCACAUCAGAAAACAGAAACACAAUAUGGAAUUGUGAGUUACUGAAAGCUUAUUAAAA
rnacentral:lncRNA from 10 species